UUUUCUUAAAAUUCGAGUUUGAGGUUUCCGUUGGUGGUUUCGAGUUCGUGUACUUGAAGUUAGUCGUUAUUAACUGGGAAAUCGGUAGAAUAUUGUAGCUUCAUAUUAUUAUUUUUCAGCGAGAUAUUUACGCAAAGGUUCACCCGCAAGCACAAAAUUGAUAUUCAAGAAUGAAGUUCCAUCAUUGGUCAGAGAAAAGAAGAAUGUUCAAUCUCGAAGACAGCUAGAGUCAACUUUGACACAUAAGGCGGCCCAGCAUCUCAAGAUACAUCUUCUCAGCUUUUAAUCAAGAAACAAGCAUCCAAGAAUAUUCUACGGACUGUCAUUCGGAAUAGCAUCAACAACUCAUUCCAAGUUACCAGUUCAAGCCCCAAAUUCUAACUUCGAGAUCAUACUUUGAGAUCAAGGUACCCACCGAAAGAAGGUGGAGUGAUAACUAAAGAUCCAAGUGAAGGUUUAAAGGAAGACUGAAGAAAAGUAGAAUAGAUAGGAUCUUGUAUUUCCUUUCCUCGUUUGUGGUAUUUUUCAUUUUUUUUUUGUUUUGUAAUAACAGGAGCCACGGACCGGAACCUCGAAGGAACCUCACUCGAUUCUCCAACUCAUCAUUCCAUCCUUUUACCCACUUGAACUACACGUGACCUGAUUCCCUUAUAACUCGGGAUAUGUAGGAUACCCAAAACCAGGACUCGGUCACAUCCUUUUCUUUUAUAUCUUUUCGCCUUUCAAAUAAUGGUCAUCUCAAAAAUUAGUCACAGUGUUCACUUCUUUGCUUGAAAACUCUUCAUGUUUCCAAGCAAAGAGGGACAUUCUGUAAACACCUAAUUUUUGACCAAACAUAAAUUUUUACAUCA